GCGCAUGCGCAGUGCAGCGCUGCGGCUCCUCCCCUGAACCGCUUGCCGGCAGCCGGUGUGCAGAGGCUGUUGUGAGCCGAGGGAGGAGCGGAGACGUCGCUGGGCUGCGGCUGCACGGAGGGAGAAGGCCGCGCUGAGGAUGUGGUUGCCCAUCCCUCCCUUGGGGAUGCCGUCGACUGCACCCGCCUCGCCUGUGCCUGGCCUGGCUCGCCUCGUGGCAUGGGGGCGAAAAGGGACAGGCAGCGGAGCGCUUACCGGCCGUGGACAGGAGCUGCCCUAAGGGAAGCUGGAAUGGCCAGAGAAAGGUGAAGAAGAAGAAGAAGAAGAGAUGGAAGGCUCUCCGGCCGGCAGCUGCCUCCCGCUGCAGGCAAGAGAGCGCCUGCCUCGCCGGGCGGAGGACAGCCGAGCGACCGGAGUGACAGCAAAGGAAAGGCGGAGAGCAGGAGAAAGAAGCGUCUGCGCUGGCAAGCUCUCCCGGCAGCGCCGAGAGCCAGAGCUGCGCCCAGAAAAAUCAAAACUAAUUACAUACCCGGUCACAUCAUCGAUAUGAUAGAUGGAGUCGCAGUAAAAGAGCGGGUAUCAUUGUUUCCAGCAAGAGCCGCUUUCUCUAUUCAGCACUUAGCACACCAUAAACUCAAGACAGGUCCAUUGCAUUUUAGUGGAUUUCCUGAUUUUACAGAAGAUGGAACCUUGGGGUUUUUUCUCCAGUUUUCCU